GAUGAACGCUAGCGGUGUGCCUAAAGCAUGCAAGUCGAACGUGAUCCCUGGAUUCGUCUGGGGUGAAAGUGGCGAACGGGUGAGUAACACGUUGGUGAUCUGCCUCGAAGUGGGGGAUAACUAUUGGAAACGAUAGCUAAUACCCCGGAUGUUAUCGUGCUUGGAAAGCGAUGACUAAAGCUCCGGCGCUUCGAGAGGAGCCUGCGUCCCAUCAGCUAGUUGGUAAGGUAAUGGCUUACCAAGGCAAAGACGGGUAGGGGGCGUGAGAGCGUGACCCCCCACACUGGUACUGACACACGGACCAGAUACCUACGGGUAGCAGCAGCUAGGAAUAUUGGGCAAUGGGCGCAAGCCUGACCCAGCAACACCGCGUGGAGGACGAAGGCCUUCGGGUCGUAAACUCCUUUUAGGGGGGAAGAGCAAGGACGGUACCCCCUGAAUAAGGCCCGGCUAACUACGUG
rnacentral:rRNA from 1 species